CACCAUCCUUACAAUAAAGAACUACCUCCUUAUAUCCGAUCUAAACUUCCCCUGUUUAAGUUUUAACCCGUUACCCCUUGUCCUAUCACUACAGUCCCUAAUGAAGAGUCCCUCCCCAGCAUCCUUAUAGGACCCCUUCAGAUACUGGAAGGCUGCUAUGAGGUCUCCACACAGUUCCUUCUCUUUCUGACUUCACAGAUGUUUUGGAUCCAAGACAUACUGGUUCUUGGUCAUUUCUACUGUCGUUUUUGUCAUACCAAACUGGGAUUACUGCAGCUAGUCCAGAUAGCUAGUCCAUUACUAGUCUUUCAGAGAUCGCAUAUCUGUUUGCAAACUUCUGCACAUUCUGAACUUAGAUUGCUUUAAGUCCUUUGAUGGCAUCUUCAGUUCUGUUAGAUUUUCCUAAACGUUCUUCAGAUCAACUUUGAAGUCAGAGACCUCCUCUGUUGUUUCACUAUAACUCAUAUUCUUUCUUUUUAAAAAUUGAAAUUGCUGCUGACACCUUUAAAGCUUUUCUAUAGUGGUUAGCCAGUAGCUAACAUUUGUACAAUCAUUAUUUUAGUAGCUAAAUGUUUCAGUUUGUUUGCCUGGGCAUUUCUUACGUGGUCUUAUGCAGUGGCUACUGGGUAUGCUAAAUGCAUGGUUUUUCUGAGGCAUCAAAAGGAACCAUACAUUUCAUUGUUCUCUGAUUCAUAACUGGUGAGUAAACCAUUUCAUGGUUAAACGUUCAUCUUAAAGGUAUUAAAUUUUAGCACUAUUUAGAAUUAACUCCUUUAUUAAUACUGAAACUUUUACCCCAAAUGAAAAUUUUCAGUUUAACCCAUCCUUUUUAUUUAAAAAUUAGCAGGUCAUAUAAAUAUUUUGUAAGGAGUCAUUGAAAAGGAAAUAGAAUUGACCUGUGUCAGAUAUACUGUGGUUUGUAUUUCCAGAAGUUCUCGUUUCAUUGUAAAACGUAUUUCAGUGUCAGUUCACAGACCCCUUGUGUUCCAGCUCCAGAAUUCUUCCAGGUGGCACCAACAUUUUGUGGUGAGCUUUAUCAUGAAGUUUGGACUCAGCAGGUCAAGUGCUUUUGCCUGUGGCUUACACUGAUUUAGGCAGCAUUCAAUUCUGGAAACGAGAGAGUCCAGUACCAUACAACAUUUUAACAACAGAUUCAUCUGGUUAAGAAAAUACUAGAUGCUUGGUCCUUACCAUGUGAAUAUUAAAAGCCUGGAAAACAUCACUGCAAGUGAAGCUGCCUUUUGAGUCUCCCAAAAACAAGUAUGGGGAAGCGUCUGAAGGA